ACCGUAUUUUGUGAAUCACUUUCGAAGAUAACAUUCUCCAACCAAAACUCAAUAGCAUUCUGGAUAGCUUCUUUGAGUGCCAACGCUCCAACAUGAACAAAAUUCCUCAAAUGCAUUUCCUUCGGUUAGUGCAUUUGCAACCAAAACAAUUGAUUCUUGGAGUACAGAAAAAUCGUAACCAACAUCAAAGCUUUCCAAAUUCACCUCAUUUCGGGCAACAUGGUCAUCAAUAUCUUGAAUAGUUUCGACAAAGUCUUCAUUGGUGACCGAUGACUUUUGUUUUCUUGUCUCUUUUAAAGUUCCAGAUUCCUCUCCAUCCGCUCGGUUAGGUCCAUAAAGUAUCACCAUCUUCUCAUAAUUUGGAAGUGGUACA